AUGGCUCAGAUUGAACGCUGGCGGCAGGCCUAACACAUGCAAGUCGAGCGGAUGACGGGAGCUUGCUCCUUGAUUCAGCGGCGGACGGGUGAGUAAUGCCUAGGAAUCUGCCUGGUAGUGGGGGACAACGUUUCGAAAGGAACGCUAAUACCGCAUACGUCCUACGGGAGAAAGCAGGGGACCUUCGGGCCUUGCGCUAUCAGAUGAGCCUAGGUCGGAUUAGCUAGUUGGUGGGGUAAUGGCUCACCAAGGCGACGAUCCGUAACUGGUCUGAGAGGAUGAUCAGUCACACUGGAACUGAGACACGGUCCAGACUCCUACGGGAGGCAGCAGUGGGGAAUAUUGGACAAUGGGCGAAAGCCUGAUCCAGCCAUGCCGCGUGUGUGAAGAAGGUCUUCGGAUUGUAAAGCACUUUAAGUUGGGAGGAAGGGCAGUAAGYUAAUACCUUGCUGUUUUGACGUUACCGACAGAAUAAGCACCGGCUAACUCUGUGCCAGCAGCCGCGGUAAUACAGAGGGUGCAAGCGUUAAUCGGAAUUACUGGGCGUAAAGCGCGCGUAGGUGGUUUGUUAAGUUGGAUGUGAAAGCCCCGGGCUCAACCUGGGAACUGCAUCCAAAACUGGCAAGCUAGAGUACGGUAGAGGGUGGUGGAAUUUCCUGUGUAGCGGUGAAAUGCGUAGAUAUAGGAAGGAACACCAGUGGCGAAGGCGACCACCUGGACUGAUACUGACACUGAG
rnacentral:rRNA from 2 species